GUUCAGAUCUAGUUAUGGAUCACUGAACUAGUUCAAUAAUAUCCAGCAGGAACCUGACCCCACCAGAUAACCUGUCUGUUUUGGGGAUCUGCUUCCCUUGCACCCUCCUUAGGCCAAGCUACACCCAUGUAAAGUGUAAAAUUGGGUCUAGAUCUGCCAUCCACAGAACCAGUGGACACAAAACAGAAAACCACAGAGAACAUCUGCUGCCUUUUUACUGCUCCUGAGUUCCUCCUCCCCCACUUAUCACUCAUGCUGGAAAGGAGGAUUUCCCAAUAAAGCUCUGCUGUAGGAUCUGCAGCAUCUCUCGUGCAGAAUCAGCACUUCAUUAGUCUUAAUGGAGACACUUCUUGUGGAAGACACUGGAGAGGUUUCAUAUGUAACUGAGGAAUUUCUAUUCCAGACUGUUGAGGACAUAAUACACCCCCCACUGCCUGGGUUGUCAUGCUUCAGCGCCCAAACACCAAGGCUGUUAUUCUCCAACAACACCGUCAAACUCCCACACUUCGAUGACUGCUACAAGUUAUUAGCACUCCCAAAAUAGGGCUGGAUUUUCACAGUGAUAAUUGAGAGCCAUAACUUUCCAUCAGAGAGGCUCUGUAGGUGGGAGCACCAGCAGAGACAGUAUCUACAGAGUCGAGGCUUUUUACCAGGAUGUUAUUUAAUUUUAUUACAGUGUAUACCCCAUAAUCCUAUCAAUGUAUAACCUUUCUUUAAGGGAUGUCUCCUGUACACAGUUUUGGAACCACCUUUUGCCUGUGUGAGAAGAACCCUAUGGGAGCUAAAAAAAAAAAAUCUUUGUCCAUAUGACUGCCUUAAGCCCUGGUUCAGGAAAAUGUUCAUAUUCAGGAUUGGGCUUAUGGAGAUUGUUGAAUAGUUCUGGAUUCCGUGAACCGAUGACUAGAAAAAAAUGUUCAUGCAGGGUUUUGUUUUCCUUCAAAAGAACUUCCACUGCUAAGGAAAACCACUCAUUAGCUCAGUUCUGAUGCAAAUAUCAGGAUAUUUAAAAGCAAGAUAAAUAACAAAAAGCUAAACAGAGCAAUAUUCUCGGUCACUGUAAGAAACGAUUGUUCCUCUUUUUGGGCUAUGUGGCCAGAAAAACUGAAUCAAAGAACACUUGUGGGUCACAUUCUUACCUGGUUCACUGCCACCUCAAUCAAAUAACGCCAGAGAUGCACUGCGGCAGUUGCUGUUGAGAUCAGAAUCUGCAUAUAGAUAUAAAUAUUCUGUCUCUCAAGUUCUAAAAGUACUGUUAUAUUUCAAGUCAAAGAGAAAAGAGAGAACAAAUAACACAAUUUAUUGCUGCAGAUUAUUUUUAUGCCUGUGUGCUCCACUUAAGAGAAUACUCUGUAAAUGACUUAUUAUCUAGAAAAGUUAUUUGUUUGCACUAAUCAAGCCUUAAACUUGGAGGCAUAAUAUGGAACUAAUUAUUUUUAACUAACUAAUCAACAUGUUUCAUUCAUAAGUUGGGAUUUAUCAAUACAGCACAUGAAAGGAGAGAACAUAUUAUUAUUUCAAUUUAGAUAAUAUGCAAAAAGCACUGUGUUUGUAAUGACCUGCUUUCACUGAAUAUAAUCAAGCUCCAAAGCUCUAUUACAGGCUGGAAAUAGCAGCAGCUUACUUUAAUGAGAUUUCUGGCUCUGGGCCCCAGCUGUUCUACGCAAGGCUCUCCCUUUGCUCUAUGACCUACCAAUAUGUGCUGUCACCAGUAAUGAGACAGGACCUAUUUCCUAACAUGGGGAAAAACUGGAAAGCAUGAGUUCAUUCUACUCUGCCGGUGGAAACACACCCUCUUUCACCCCGCAAGGCAGAAGGAGGGGGACAUGGAAUGUGCAACAUUCCCCCCUCCCUUGCCAGUGGAAAUAUGACAUGGAAGCCAUCAGGUGUGGAACUCAAAGGAAAAACUGGAAGUCUCUUCUGAAUUUGUUCCCUCAGCACACUGAAACCCAACAUUCAUUAGAGCAGAUGCACAAUAUCUCUCUUCCCUGCAAAGACCCCAACAGAGGACUCCCCAUUAUCUGCAAGGCACGGGAAGGGGGAACAGUAGCAGACUUGGGCUCUGAAUUCUAUGGAUUUUGUGGAAUUAUACUCAUCUCAAAGCCGCGCUGGGAAUGUGCCAGGAGCCAAAGAGCUGCACUUAAUUUACCUAAAAUGGAGCAGAUUGCCACUGCUCUCCUUUUUAAUAAUGGAGAUGCAGCCUGGAGACUACAGAUUCCAUCAAGCAAUGCUCCAAAAGGAUCCAACUGCUCCAGGUGCUGGGGGUACUGUGGCUCCCAAGUGGAAAAAAAGACCUACCUCAUUUUGGUCACUCUGAAUUGGACUCUUAAUAUUGUUAGCUUUUCUUUUUCUAUUAUAUAUUCCACACUUCUCAGAAAUUCCGUUCUAGAAAAUGUUUGAUUAGCUAACUUUGGGGGCUGAGGGUUAUGCUAUAUUUAUCCUUAAGCUGUCACUUGGGCUCAUUAACACUUUGCACGUGAAUCUGUUUUUUUUUUAGGACAAGAAGCCAGUGUUUUUCUCCCCUUAAUAGCAUUGUUAAGUAUUUCAGGAAUCUAAAAUCCAUAAACUAUUUCUGUGCCCUGAAUACAAACCUCUUUGGAAAAAGCCAACGAACAUUUUAGUCAGAAAAUUGGAAGGCGUGUGCUUAAUGCACUUUCAAAUUAAAUGAUUUGAUGCUUUUCAAUUUGUCUUUUUGCCCUUCCCAAAUACCCAAAGGCACUAGCCCACUUUGUAAAUGAACGGGCUAUGAAAUCUUACUUUGAGAAAUGAAGGUGUCACCGAGUUGCAGUAAAAAUUAUACUCGGCACCAAGUGCACUUUGCAAGCCCUGACUAAUUGCCCCCUGCAACAGCCCAGCAUUCCUCCUUUAUUAACAGGAAUUAAAUAAGCAGUUAUUUAUCUUCGAAGUGGGAAAAACUUCCUAAACCCCAAGAGACUGAGAAGCUAAGUCUCCAUAGCAUAAAAGGCCUCUUUCACUGAAGACCACUGAGUGGCCAUUGCUUUCCAGAUGCCUUUUGGACAAUGGGUGGUGCCCCUGGACAGGCUGUCCUGGCACGUCUGAGGACGGCUCAUCCACUGGGUUCAGGUUCAGCCUCUCAGAUUUUGAGCAUCCUGGCUCAAAACUUAGGAACUUCUAGCUCCAGGAAUCCCAUCACAGCACAGAGAUAUGCCAGGCUCUCUGUGAAAGGCUACGGUGGGCAGGCAAAUACCUCCCUGUGUGCUUUUUUCCUUCUACAAUUUCAGAAAGAAAAUUAUAAAGUGAGCCUUCAAAUUGGCCUUUUAAAA